CAUUUAUUAUGAAAACCACUGGGAAAACCGCAAAAUGACCUCUUUAAAGUACCGCCCCAGUCGAAUUUCCUUUCGGAAAACGUGCUAAAUUUGACGAAUUCUGGCGGAAAAGUUGUUCAUAGAAAAAAAAAAAAAAAAAACAUCAUUGGAAAACCAAUACGUCGCGAGGUGUAAUAUAAGUGCAAAAUAAUUUUAUAAUUUAAUUUUUUGUUUUUUCAUGUACA